AGAGCGGAGCCGUGAGAGUUUCCACCCACAGCUUGGCCCGGCACCGCGGCGCGCGCAGCCAGAAAAGCUGCAAUGCUGUCCGUGGUUCCUGUGCAGACUCGGCAGUCCUCUGGAAAACCUGCUCAAAAAGGAUCGGGGUCGUCAGCAAGGUGAGCAACUCCUCUCCCAGAUUCACCACUGGUCUGCACCACGGUGAACAUAUGCAGUCUUUCUUCAUGGGUCAUCGCCGAUCUCAUCAAAAAAAAAUUCUGCAACCCUAAUAGCUGUUCACCAUAUUGCAAUCUGAUGUGAUCCUUGACGAAACCAAUGGGAGUCCCGGGAGCUUGAACGGAUGGCAGCAUUCGUGAGAAGGGCUGCGAGCGCAGCCAGGGUGGGUAGGAAUCAGCCCCAGGAUCGUACCCAACCUGCAAUGUGAGCGAGAAACCAGAGGAAGCCUGAGCGUUCUUGAGAUGAAACCCCGCCUACCCAAUAUGAUUUAUUUAGCAAAGAAAAAGAAAGGUUCCGGAUCCAGCUCCCCGAUUCCUCCAUUUUUUUUCUUCAAUCCUCCCCUAAUUCUGCUACUAUUUCGAUCUCACCGGCUCGUUUUAUGCAGGACAAUCAAUCGGAGCUUACUAUGAGAAGUAAUGAGAAGAUGAAUGCCCGCCACCUUCAGUGCGUUGUUGUAGUCCGUCACGCCGAGCCUCCCGUGAAGAAGCCACAACAGCCAGUCCGCUUGGUGCAGCAGCACGGCCGUCUCUUUGUU
rnacentral:lncRNA from 1 species